UCUGGAAAGGCGCGCGAUACAGGGUGACAGCCCCGUACACAAAAGCGCAUGUGCUGUGAGCUCGAUGAGUAGGGCGGGACACGUGGUAUCCUGUCUGAAUAUGGGGGGACCAUCCUCCAAGGCUAAAUACUCCUGACUGACCGAUAGUGAACCAGUACCGUGAGGGAAAGGCGAAAAGAACCCCGGCGAGGGGAGUGAAAAAGAACCUGAAACCGUGUACGUACAAGCAGUGGGAGCACCCUUUGGGUGUGACUGCGUACCUUUUGUAUAAUGGGUCAGCGACUUAUAUUCUGUAGCAAGGUUAACCGAAUAGGGGAGCCGGAGGGAAACCGAGUCUUAACCGGGCGUUAAGUUGCAGGGUAUAGACCCGAAACCCGGUGAUCUAGCCAUGGGCAGGUUGAAGGUUGGGUAACACUAACUGGAGGACCGAACCGACUAAUGUUGAAAAAUUAGCGGAUGACCUGUGGCUGGGGGUGAAAGGCCAAUCAAACCGGGAGAUAGCUGGUUCUCCCCGAAAGCUAUUUAGGUAGCGCCUCGUGAAUUCAUCUCCGGGGGUAGAGCACUGUUUCGGCUAGGGGGCCAUCCCGGCUUACCAACCCGAUGCAAACUGCGAAUACCGGAGAAUGUUAUCACGGGAGACACACGGCGGGUGCUAACGUCCGUCGUGAAGAGGGAAACAACCCAGACCGCCAGCUAAGGUCCCAAAGUCAUGGUUAAGUGGGAAACGAUGUGGGAAGGCCCAGACAGCCAGGAUGUUGGCUUAGAAGCAGCCAUCAUUUAAAGAAAGCGUAAUAGCUCACUGGUCGAGUCGGCCUGCGCGGAAGAUGUAACGGGGCUAAACCAUGCACCGAAGCUGCGGCAGCGACACUGUGUGUUGUUGGGUAGGGGAGCGUUCUGUAAGCCUGUGAAGGUGUGUCGUGAGGCAUGCUGGAGGUAUCAGAAGUGCGAAUGCUGACAUAAGUAACGAUAAAGCGGGUGAAAAGCCCGCUCGCCGGAAGACCAAGGGUUCCUGUCCAACGUUAAUCGGGGCAGGGUGAGUCGACCCCUAAGGCGAGGCCGAAAGGCGUAGUCGAUGGGAAACGGGUUAAUAUUCCCGUACUUGGUGUUACUGCGAAGGGGGGACGGAGAAGGCUAUGUUGGCCGGGCGACGGUUGUCCCGGUUUAAGCGUGUAGGUGUGUGUUCCAGGUAAAUCCGGUUCACUUUAACACUGAGGCGUGACGACGAGGCACUACGGUGCUGAAGCAACAAAUGCCCUGCUUCCAGGAAAAGCCUCUAAGCAUCAGGUAACAUCAAAUCGUACCCCAAACCGACACAGGUGGUCAGGUAGAGAAUACCAAGGCGCUUGAGAGAACUCGGGUGAAGGAACUAGGCAAAAUGGUGCCGUAACUUCGGGAGAAGGCACGCUGACACGUAGGUGAAGUGAUUUACUCAUGGAGCUGAA
rnacentral:rRNA from 1 species